GCCUCCCCGCAGCCAAUCACAUCUCACCUUACUCAACCGACCCGCACGCCGCUGCGCAUGCGCCCCGAAAGGGCGCUGGGACGUCACUGCGCACGCGCGCUCGGGGUAUGUUGGGAGUUGUAGUUUUAUAGAUUGCUGGGGGAUGAUUUUGUAUUACCUGGAAGGAGUGGACUUUUCUUUUAUGAUUUAGCUGAAGGACCAAGUCAGUGCCGCAACCAAACCAAACUGGAAGGUCCGGAGAUGUAACCCUACUGAGUAGAAACUCUCCUAAAGCCA